rnacentral:piRNA from 1 species
UGAUCUAUGAAGGCCCAACAGAGUGCUGGA